rnacentral:lncRNA from 1 species
CUUUAUAAAUUUCUUUCAGUGUAUAUAAGAAACCUCUUCCACACCUCUAUAUGAAAGCACAACCAAGAACACAUGGCAUUUCUUACGGUUCCAACUGCUGAGUACAGAGAGCUCUGUAUAUGGAGACUGCCCUUGUGUUUCCAAAUGUUGGAAAGUCAUUUCUACCUGUUGAUUUAUAAGGAUGACAUUUUUACAGGCUUUCUACAUCUUACCAGGAUUUAAUACUGAACUAAAAGCAGAAAUAAAUGCUGAAAAUAAGGGGGCCAUUCUUGGUGGCUUGUGCCUUGAUAACUAUUAUGGGAUCCUCUGCAAUGUCAUUCAGUGAUAUGAUGGAGAAGCAGUCAACUUUUAGAAAUGUUGUUACCACCCCAUGAAAGGAACAGAAGGCAAGUACGCUGAAUUCCUACUGAAGCUUCUCAAGGUUGACAGUGGCUGCUCAGUCUCAGGUUCCGAGGUGAACAAUAAUCUAAUUAUCUGAAAUGCUUUCCCAUUGCAGUUGGAGGAGAAAGUGAAACAGGACAGGACAACUUCAUUGUUAGUACCAGCUGCAGACGCCAAUCAAACCAAACAACGCUAAUUAAAACUGAGAAAAAGUACAGCAAUGCUAAAAAGAAGGAUAGUGUAUUAACCCCCGAAACAGUCUCUCCCUGAGAUAAAAGAUGGCCAAAGAAUGGAAGAUAAAGCAAUCCUUUUAUGAGAACUGAAAGAGAUUAAGCAAUAGACUACAAUGGGAACCAUCUCCCAAGAAAAAGUUAUACUCAAUACAGAGAAAUUUUGAGGAUUCUAAAAUGAUUAAAACCAAUUGAAACUAGAAUUAUUUAAGCAUUCUGUGAAGCCAUUCUAAGUAUCAUGGGGAAGAGAACCUUCACAAGAAGCAUUCACAGUUGUCUGAAAUCUUCAAACAUUGGUAGAAUUUCUCAGUGUUCAUCUUCUCUGGAACUGUGUACCUUCAAAUCAUCUGUAGACACUGGUCCUGCCACAAGAUAAGGAAUCACUGCUACAGUAUAGAGCGACUGCAUGUGUAGCAAUGACAAUGAUUGUAAGCUUUUAGGGGCAUGGAUAAUGUCAUACAUCACAUUUCUCACCAAGGACCUGCGGCCAAUGUAGUCCAUAAGCAUCACAGAGCCAAGCCUGGGGCUGAUGAUCGCACAGCUUAACUGCAAAUGCAGGACCACAGAAACUCUGAUUUCCAUGCUGUCAUGUGAUGGGAAAUACAGAUGCUCCUUGAAUAUUGAUGAGGUUACCACCCAAUAAGUCAUCUUAACUUCGAAAACCUCAUGUAAAGAAUGCAUUAGGUACCCCAACCUACUGAACAGAUCAUCCUAUUUUAGCAGCCCAGCG